CUGUGAGUGAGGGGUGAACUUUUAGAACGCAGGCGAUAGUCUUCACAAGAAGCACGGUUUACAUGUCUGGCAGUAUCUUUCAAGUGGUUGUCUUGCAGGACUGUAAAAGCCGCUCAUUCCAUGCUGAGGCCUAAGCCACUAAAGACUACAAGCAUCAAUACAAUUCUAUUAUACUUCUUAAUACAUUUCUUAUACAUGGUAACACAAAGAACGCCGAAAUUGCUGUCGUUAUGCCCGAUGUGUCAUUUCUUUUCGGAAACUUGAACUACAAGCAACUGUCGCCUUGUCAUUAUAUCUGUCUAUUACGCGAAAUAAAUUCACAAUUUAAAAUCAUUUUUUGUAUUAGAAAUUGCGAAUGUAUAGUAAUGUGGCUCAAAACUAUAUACAAUGUGGCAUUUCAUAUUCUCGAAAUGGCAGUGGUAUUACGGUAUAUUAGUGUAUAUUACGGUAUCAAUGUUAAGCUGUUAAUUCGUUUUCCAGACGAACUGAGGUUUUCGUAGUUUUAAUUAUCGCAGUAAAGAGGGGGCGAAAGCCUCACGCUGCAAAUAAAUUUUAUCCGGUCUGCUAUAGCAACUUUUGCUUUAACUUUAGUUUCGGCGACACUAAAGAUUAAUGUUCAAAAUAGAAUUUAAAAAAAUGAAGACAAAACUCAAUAUAAGUACCAUUUCGUGAACUAUA